rnacentral:rRNA from 1 species
CAGCAGCCACGGGAAUACGUAGGGGGCAAGCGUUGUCCGGAAUUAUUGGGCGUAAAGCGCGCGCAGGCGGUUUUUUAAGUCUGGUGUCUAAGUGCGGGGCUCAACCCCGUGACGCACUGGAAACUGGGAGACUUGAGUGCAGAAGAGGAGAGCGGAAUUCCACGUGUAGCGGUGAAAUGCGUAGAGAUGUGGAGGAACACCAGUGGCGAAGGCGGCUCUCUGGACUGUAACUGACGCUGAGGCGCGAAAGCGUGGGGAGCAAACAGGAUUAGAUACCCCCGUAGUCCCUGUCUCUUAUACA